rnacentral:rRNA from 1 species
UACGUAGGGUGCAAGCGUUGUCCGGAAUUAUUGGGCGUAAAGAGCUCGUAGGCGGUUUGUCGCGUCUGCUGUGAAAACCCGAGGCUCAACCUCGGGCCUGCAGUGGGUACGGGCAGACUAGAGUGCGGUAGGGGAGAUUGGAAUUCCUGGUGUAGCGGUGGAAUGCGCAGAUAUCAGGAGGAACACCAAUGGCGAAGGCGGGUCUCUGGGCAGUAACUGACGCUGAGGAGCGAAAGCGUGGGGAGCGAACAGG